AUACCCUGGUAGUCCAUGCCGUAAACGAUGAGUGCUAAGUGUUGGAGGGUUUCCGCCCUUCAGUGCUGCAGCUAACGCAUUAAGCACUCCGCCUGGGGAGUACGACCGCAAGGUUGAAACUCAAAGGAAUUGACGGGGGCCCGCACAAGCGGUGGAGCAUGUGGUUUAAUUCGAUGCUACGCGAAGAACCUUACCAGGUCUUGACAUCUUCUGCUAACCUAAGAGAUUAGGCGUUCCCUUCGGGGACGGAAUGACAGGUGGUGCAUGGUUGUCGUCAGCUCGUGUCGUGAGAUGUUGGGUUAAGUCCCGCAACGAGCGCAACCCUUAUUGUCAGUUGCCAGCAUUUAGUUGGGCACUCUGGCGAGACUGCCGGUGACAAACCGGAGGAAGGUGGGGAUGACGUCAAAUCAUCAUGCCCCUUAUGACCUGGGCUACACACGUGCUACAAUGGACGGUACAACGAGUCGCGAAACCGCGAGGUCAAGCUAAUCUCUUAAAGCCGUUCUCAGUUCGGAUUGCAGGCUGCAACUCGCCUGCAUGAAGUUGGAAUCGCUAGUAAUCGUGGAUCAGCAUGCCACGGUGAAUACGUUCCCGGGCCUUGUACACACCGCCC
rnacentral:rRNA from 1 species